rnacentral:tRNA from 2 species
GCCCGGAUUGAGUAGCCUGGUAGCUCGUAGGCCUGUGGAGCCUAUUGCAUGGGUUCAAAUCCCAUUCCGGGCC